AGUGAACGCUGGUGGUAGGCCUAACACAUGCAAGUCGAACGGCAGCACAGUAAGAGCUUGCUCUUACGGGUGGCGAGUGGCGGACGGGUGAGGAAUACAUCGGAAUCUACUUUUUCGUGGGGGAUAACGUAGGGAAACUUACGCUAAUACCGCAUACGACCUACGGGUGAAAGCAGGGGAUCUUCGGACCUUGCGCGAUUGAAUGAGCCGAUGUCGGAUUAGCUAGUUGGCGGGGUAAAGGCCCACCAAGGCGACGAUCCGUAGCUGGUCUGAGAGGAUGAUCAGCCACACUGGAACUGAGACACGGUCCAGACUCCUACGGGAGGCAGCAGUGGGGAAUAUUGGACAAUGGGCGCAAGCCUGAUCCAGCCAUACCGCGUGGGUAAAGAAGGCCUUCGGGUUGUAAAGCCCUUUUGUUGGGAAAGAAAAGCAGCAGGUUAAUACCCCGCUGUUCUGACGGUACCCAAAGAAUAAGCACCGGCUAACUUCGUG
rnacentral:rRNA from 1 species